rnacentral:rRNA from 1 species
AUUGAACGCUGGCGGCAUGCCUUACACAUGCAAGUCGAACGGCAGCACGGGAGCAAUCCUGGUGGCGAGUGGCGAACGGGUGAGUAAUAUAUCGGAACGUGCCCAGUCGUGGGGGAUAACGUAGCGAAAGUUACGCUAAUACCGCAUACGAUCUACGGAUGAAAGCGGGGGACUCGCAAGAGCCUCGCGCGAUUGGAGCGGCCGAUAUCAGAUUAGGUAGUUGGUGGGGUAAAGGCUCACCAAGCCAACGAUACUGUAGCUGGUCUGAGAGGACGACCAGCCACACUGGAACUGAGACACGGUCCAGACUCC